GUGAUUGUAACUUCGGCAUCACAUAUACUAAAAUUGGAACGAUACAGAAAAGAUUAGCAUGGCCCCUGCACAAGAAUGACACGCAAAUCACAACAAAAGCAUAUUCAGCAU